rnacentral:rRNA from 1 species
CCUACGGGAGGCAGCAGUGAGGAAUAUUGGUCAAUGGCCGGAAGGCUGAACCAGCCAUGCCGCGUGAAGGUCAGUGCCCUAUGGGCGUUAAACUUCUUUUGUGCGGGAGCAAUAAUGGUCACGUGUGGCCAGACGAGAGUACCGUACGAAUAAGUAUCGGCUAACUCCGUGCCAGCAGCCGCGGUAAUACGGGGGAUGCAAGCGUUAUCCGGAUUUAUUGGGUUUAAAGGGUGCGUAGGCUGUGAGGUAAGUCAGCGGUGAAAUGCCCCCGCUCAACGGGGUGAAGUGCCAUUGAUACUGCCUGGCUGGAAUGCGGAUGCCGUGGGAGGAAUGUGUGGUGUAGCGGUGAAAUGCAUAGAUAUCACACAGAACACCGAUUGCGAAGGCAUCUCACGAAUCCGCGAUUGACGCUGAUGCACGAAAGCGUGGGUAUCAAACAGGAUUAGAUACCCGUGUAGUC